rnacentral:rRNA from 1 species
AUUGAACGCUGGCGGCAGGCCUAACACAUGCAAGUCGAACGGUAACAGGAAGCAGCUUGCUGCUUUGCUGACGAGUGGCGGACGGGUGAGUAAUGUCUGGGAAACAGCCUGAUGGAGGGGGAUAACUACUGGAAACGGUAGCUAAUACCGCAUAACGUCGCAAGACCAAAGAGGGGGACCUUCGGGCCUCUUGCCAUCGGAUGUGCCCAGAUGGGAUUAGCUAGUAGGUGGGGUAACGGCUCACCUAGGCGACGAUCCCUAGCUGGUCUGAGAGGAUGACCAGCCACACUGGAACUGAGACACGGUCCAGACUCCUACGGGAGGCAGCAGUGGGGAAUAUUGCACAAUGGGCGAAAGCCUGAUGCAGCCAUGCCGCGUGUAUGAAGAAGGCCUUCGGGUUGUAAAGUACUUUCAGCGGGGAGGAAGGGAGUAAAGUUAAUACCUUUGCUCAUUGACGUUACCCGCAGAAGAAGCACCGGCUAACUCCGUG